rnacentral:rRNA from 1 species
AUUGAACGCUGGCGGCAUGCUUUACACAUGCAAGUCGAACGGUAACAGGCCUUCGGGUGCUGACGAGUGGCGAACGGGUGAGUAAUGCAUCGGAACGUACCAAGAGGUGGGGGAUACCGAAGCGAAAGUUGUGUUAAAACCGCAGGUGAUCUGGGGUUGAAAGGGGGGGCCGGGCAAGCAAUGUUUGGCUCGGCGCUUUUGGGCGGGCGAUGUCGGAUUAGCUAGUUGGGGGGGUAAAGGCCUACCAAGGCGACGAUCCGUAGCUGGUCUGAGAGGACGACCAGCCACACUGGGACUGAGACACGGCCCAGACUCCUACGGGAGGCAGCAGUGGGGAAUUUUGGACAAUGGGCGCAAGCCUGAUCCAGCAAUGCCGCGUGCGGGAAGAAGGCCUUCGGGUUGUAAACCGCUUUUGGCAGGAACGAAACGGUGUCCGCUAAUACCGGGCGCUAAUGACGGUACCUGCAGAAUAAGCACCGGCUAACUACGUG